AAAUUGAAAAACAAAGACUUAGAAGUCUUGUUCAAUUUGCACCAAUUAACUCUCUCUCUCUCUCUUUCUCUCUCACGCACACAUAAUCUCACACACAUAGCAACUUUUGUAAAGUCUUGUUAAGUUUGCAGCAAUUCUCACUCUCUCACACACAUACAGAAAAUUUAGUAAACUUUUGUUCAGUUUGCACCAAUUCUCUCUCUCUCUCUCUCUCUCUCUCUCUCACACACACACACACACACACACAUAGCUAAUUUUGUGAACUCUUGUUCAGUUUGCAUCAAUUCUCUCCCUCUCACACACACAAAUCCACAUAGCCAAUUUUGUGAACUCUUGUUUAGUUUGCCUCAAUUCUCUCUCUCUCACACACACAUCCACAUAGCAAAUUUUGUAAGCUCUUGCUCAGUUUGCAUCAAUUCUCUCUUUCACACACACACCCACAGCAAAUUUUGUAAACUCUAUUUCAGUUUGCACCAAUUCUCUAUCUCACACACGCCGAGAAAAUUUUGUGAACUCUUGUUCAGUUUGCAUCAGUUCUCUCUCUCACACACAUCCACAUAGCAAAUUUUGCAAACUCUUGUUAAGAAAGUGUUUGCAGAAACAGAUCUUCUUGGAAAAGCAGACAAGCUUAGUCUCUGGAGUUUUGUUUUUGACAGGGAACUGUGUUAUUGAAGUUAAAGCCGAGUAGGGAAGGUGAGGAUGAAUUUCGAUUCUGCUUGUUGAUCGUGUGUAGUGAAAUUUGAGAUUUUUCUUUUUUUCCUCUUUUUUUGGUGUUUCCUUUUGUACUAAUUGACAUGUUUGCCUAUAGAAAUCAAUCAUUUCCUGGUGUGAUAUGUACUAUAUUCAAUCGUGGGGAAAAAUUCAACACACUUUUAAAACAAGUAGUGAAAGUUUAGAUUUGGUGAUCUUA